rnacentral:rRNA from 1 species
AGCUACACAUGCAGUCGAGCGAGAUCUUCGGAUCUAGCGGCGGACGGGUGAGUAACGCGUGGGAACGUACCCUCUUCUGCGGGAUAGCCACUGGAAACGGUGAGUAAUACCGCAUACGCCCUUCGGGGGAAAGAUUUAUCGGAGGAGGAUCGGCCCGCGUUGGAUUAGGUAGUUGGUGGGGUAAUGGCCUACCAAGCCUACGAUCCAUAGCUGGUUUUAGAGGAUGAUCAGCCACACUGGGACUGAGACACGGCCCAGACUCCUACGGGAGGCAGCAGUGGGGAAUCUUAGACAAUGGGCGCAAGCCUGAUCUAGCCAUGCCGCGUGAGUGACGAAGGCCUUAGGGUCGUAAAGCUCUUUCGCCUGUGAUGAUAAUGACAGUAGCAGGUAAAGAAACCCCGGCUAACUCCGUGCCAGCAGCCGCGGUAAUACGGAGGGGGUUAGCGUUGUUCGGAAUUACUGGGCGUAAAGCGCACGUAGGCGGAUUGGAAAGUAUGGGGUGAAAUCCCAGGGCUCAACCCUGGAACGGCCUCAUAAACUUCCAGUCUGGAGUUCGAGAGAGGUGAGUGGAAUUCCGAGUGUAGAGGUGAAAUUCGUAGAUAUUCGGAGGAACACCAGUGGCGAAGGCGGCUCACUGGCUCGAUACUGACGCUGAGGUGCGAAAGUGUGGGGAGCAAACAGGAUUAGAUACCCUGGUAGUCCACA